rnacentral:rRNA from 1 species
AUUGAACGCUGGCGGCAUGCCUUACACAUGCAAGUCGAACGGCAGCACGGGUGCUUGCCCCUGGUGGCGAGCGGCGAACGGGUGAGUAAUACAUCGGAACAUGUCCUGUAGUGGGGGAUAGCCCGGCGAAAGCCGGAUUAAUACCGCAUACGAUCUACGGAUGAAAGCGGGGGACCUUCGGGCCUCGCGCUAUAGGGUUGGCCGAUGGCGGAUUAGCUAGUUGGUGGGGUAAAGGCCUACCAAGGCGACGAUCAGUAGCUGGUCUGAGAGGACGACCAGCCACACUGGGACUGAGACACGGCCCAGACUCCUACGGGAGGCAGCAGUGGGGAAUUUUGGACAAUGGGCGAAAGCCUGAUCCAGCAAUGCCGCGUGUGUGAAGAAGGCCUUCGGGUUGUAAAGCACUUUUGUCCGGAAAGAAAUCCUUGGCCCUAAUACGGUCGGGGGAUGACGGUACCGGAAGAAUAAGCACCGGCUAACUACGUG